UCUAGCGAUCAUAACGGACACGGGCCUAUUUUGACAGCACGAGCCACCCGUUACAAGAGGGUUUAAGGAUUGAGUGGCGCAUUAGAAAUAGAGGUCUCUCCUCCAAGAUAUGAUAACAAUAGCCACACUGAAAUGAGUAUCAGAGAUAAAGAGCUUAAGAUACAUUUCAAACCAGGGCACGUUGAGUUUGUUCAGGAAGUUGUUUGGACUUUCCUGCCUCUUUGGAUCAUUUUUCCAUUCACACAGACUGUGGAGAGAUGGUGUGCAGCUUCAUGACAUGUGAAGUUUACUUCCGAUGAAGAGCUUCUGGGACACUGACAAACAGCAUGUCCCAGCAAGUUCAUCUGGAAUUCUUUUUUUAAAUUAAUUUAUUUAUUUAGUCAAACUUGCAUUCACUAAUGCUGGAGUAAGAUUUUAGAAGAAAAUUUUCAGUCCUGUUUAAUGUUUGAGAACUAAUGGCCUGGUUUCACAGACGGGGCUUAAACUUAGCCGGAUCAUAGUUCAGUUAGGACAUUUAAGUCAUUUUCCUUGACAUGCCUUAGAAAAAACAUUACUGGUGUGCAUCUUGAGACAAAACAAAGGCACUGGUAAUUUUAAAGAUCAGUCAGUGCAAGUUUCUAUCAGUUGAAACAGCUCAGAAUUACAUUUUAGCCUUGGGCUGGUCUUAAGCCUUGUCUGUGAAACCAUGGGUACAAGUAACCCACUAUGGUAAUGUUUUACAAUAACGUCUCGUUUGUUGUACAUGCAUAGAUAAUUUUCUUUCUUUUUUUUAUUUUUUAUUAAAUGUGUGUUGUUUGUGUGUUAGUAAUCCUAUAUGUUAUGGCGACCAAAUGACUCCACAAGUAUAGUUAUACAGUAAAUUAUGACUGUGUGGACAUUUUUAGGUCCCCGAUGAGGAAACAGAUUUACACAUCUUGAAGAUGAUGUUUUCCAUGAUGGUGAAAUUAGCAUUGUUCUCCAGACUCUUUCUAAUAAGUGAGUUGAAGUGUUGUAACUGUAUAGUGUUCAGUUUUUCUAGUGCAUCAGCAAAAAGCGUUUUUGUGUAUUUGUUUUAGAGAUUGAUUUGUCAAUAAAUGUAGAGGGUU